rnacentral:rRNA from 1 species
AGCGGCAAAAGCUCAAAUUUGAAAUCUAGUACCUUCGGUGCUCGAGUUGUAAUUUGGAGAUAGUUUUCUGGUGCUGGCCCUUGUCUAUGUUCCUUGGAACAGGACGUCAUAGAGGGUGAGAAUCCCGUCUGAUGGGGUGUCCAGUGCUUUGUAGAUUUCUAUCGAAGAGUCGAGUUGUUUGGGAAUGCAGCUCUAAGUGGGUGGUAAAUUCCAUCUAAAGCUAAAUAUUGGCGAGAGACCGAUAGCGAACAAGUACAGUGAUGGAAAGAUGAAAAGAACUUUGAAAAGAGAGUGAAAAAGUACGUGAAAUUGUUGAAAGGGAAGGAUAUUGGAUCAGACUUGGUGUUUUGUGAUUAUCUUCCCUUCUUGGGUUGUGCACUCGCAUUUCACUGGGCCAGCAUCGAUUCGGAUGGCAAGAUAAUGGCUUGGGAACGUGGCUCUCUUCGGGGAGUGUUAUAGCCCUUGUUGAUGUUGCCUAUCUGGAUCGAGGACUGCGG